UGGGGAAUAUUGGACAAUGGGGGCAACCCUGAUCCAGCCAUGCCGCGUGAGUGAAGAAGGCCUUAGGGUUGUAAAGCUCUUUCACCGGUGAAGAUAAUGACGGUAGCCGGAGAAGAAGCCCCGGCUAACUCCGUGCCAGCAGCCGCGGUAAUACGGAGGGGGCUAGCGUUGUUCGGAAUUACUGGGCGUAAAGCGCGCGUAGGCGGUCUGUUAAGUUGGGCGUGAAAGCCCGGGGCUCAACCCCGGAUGUGCGCCCAAAACUGGCAGACUCGAGUCCGGGAGAGGGUGGUGGAAUUCCCAGUGUAGAGGUGAAAUUCGUAGAUAUUGGGAAGAACACCAGUGGCGAAGGCGACCACCUGGCCCGGGACUGACGCUGAGGUGCGAAAGCGUGGGGAGCAAACAGGAUUAGAUACCCCCGUAGUCC
rnacentral:rRNA from 1 species